GACGAACGCUGGCGGCGUGCUUAACACAUGCAAGUCGAACGAUGAUGCCCAGCUUGCUGGGUGGAUUAGUGGCGAACGGGUGAGUAACACGUGAGUAACCUGCCCCUGACUCUGGGAUAAGCGUUGGAAACGACGUCUAAUACUGGAUAUGACUACUGGUCGCAUGGCCUGGUGGUGGAAAGAUUUUUUGGUUGGGGAUGGACUCGCGGCCUAUCAGCUUGUUGGUGAGGUAAUGGCUCACCAAGGCGACGACGGGUAGCCGGCCUGAGAGGGUGACCGGCCACACUGGGACUGAGACACGGCCCAGACUCCUACGGGAGGCAGCAGUGGGGAAUAUUGCACAAUGGGCGAAAGCCUGAUGCAGCAACGCCGCGUGAGGGAUGACGGCCUUCGGGUUGUAAACCUCUUUUAGUAGGGAAGAAGCGAAAGUGACGGUACCUGCAGAAAAAGCACCGGCUAACUACGUGCCAGCCGCCGCCGUAA
rnacentral:rRNA from 1 species